GUGCACCAGUCGCGAAUUUUCACAAUGGGGAAACCCUGAUGGAGCGACGCCGCGUGGAGGAUGAAGGCCCUCGGGUCGUAAACUCCUGUCAUGCGGGAACAAGAAAGUGAUAGUACCGCAAGAGGAAGAGACGGCUAACUCUGUGCCAGCAGCCGCGGUAAUACAGAGGUCUCAAGCGUUAUUCGGAUUCAUUGGGCGUAAAGGGUGCGUAGGUGGCGAUGUAAGUCUGGUGUGAAAUCUCGGAGCUUAACUCCGAAACUGCAUUGGAUACUGCGUUGCUUGAGGAUUGUAGAGGAGAGUGGAAUUCACGGUGUAGCAGUGAAAUGCGUAGAUAUCGUGAGGAAGACCAGUUGCGAAGGCGACUCUCUGGGCAAUUCCUGACACUGAGGCACGAAGGCCAGGGGAGCAAACGGGAUUAGAUACCCCGGUAGU
rnacentral:rRNA from 1 species